GAUGAACGCUAGCGGCAGGCCUAACACAUGCAAGUCGAACGGUAACAUUGGUGCUUGCACUAGAUGACGAGUGGCGCACGGGUGAGUAACGCGUAUACAAUCUGCCUAUUACUGGAGUAUAGCCCGAAGAAAUUUGGAUUAACCCUCCAUAGUAUUAAGAGAUGGCAUCAUUUUUUAAUUAAAACUACGGUGGUAAUAGAUGAGUAUGCGUCCCAUUAGUUAGUUGGUAAGGUAACGGCUUACCAAGACAGCGAUGGGUAGGGGUCCUGAGAGGGAGAUCCCCCACACUGGUACUGAGACACGGACCAGACUCCUACGGGAGGCAGCAGUGAGGAAUAUUGGACAAUGGAGGCAACUCUGAUCCAGCCAUGCCGCGUGCAGGAAGACUGCCCUAUGGGUUGUAAACUGCUUUUAUAGAGGAAGAAACCUCCCUUUGCGAAGGGAAUUGACGGUACUCUACGAAUAAGGAUCGGCUAACUCCGUGCCAGCAGCCGCGGUAAUACGGAGGAUCCAAGCGUUAUCCGGAAUCAUUGGGUUUAAAGGGUCCGUAGGUGGACUAAUAAGUCAGUGGUGAAAGUCUGCAGCUCAACUGUAGAAUUGCCAUUGAAACUGUUAGUCUUGAGUCAUUAUGAAGUGGUUGGAAUGAGCGGUGUAGCGGUGAAAUGCAUAGAUAUCGCUCAGAACACCGAUUGCGAAGGCAGAUCACUAAUAAUGUACUGACACUGAUGGACGAAAGCGUGGGUAGCGAACAGG
rnacentral:rRNA from 1 species